rnacentral:lncRNA from 1 species
AGCACAUCGAAAUUGGAUUUCACCGCUCAUUCUGCGCACGCGCGAGGAGCAGUAGUUGCGAGAGAGAAAUGUGGGGACUUUUGGUGCUCAAUAUUUCUCUUCGCCUAGGUACUACGGGGAAGAAAGCUAUUAGCUACGUUUGUCCUUAGCCGAGCUUGCAGCACAGAAUUGAUAGGAUGCGUGGGCAGCAAGACGAAAAAGCCGCGUCCGAGAUCCGUAAUGUCGGAUAGCUGCUCUGUGACCGAUGAAGAACAGCGUGCCCGUGAGGAUCACCUUUGCAAACAGAUGCGGGAGUGGGCACGAAAGCAUCGGCGACCAAUUGCAGUAUAUCACAGUGACCACAAAGCAAUGGUUACCAUGGUGACAAAGUAAAUAGAAAAUCAAAGAUAACGAAGUUGUGUGUUGCGGACGCUUCCAGACGCAAGACUGAUUUAUGCAGCAGGCACUCCUUGGCUGCAUCUGCAAUGCCAGCUCAAGGCGAGAAUGCUUUGGGCACGUUGCCAUCUGCGUCCACAGUCAUUCUGGCACAACCGCCAUGGUAUGUUGGUCACAGAAACGUCACGUGGGUUGACAAUAUGUGUAGGCUGCUGUGAACACAGUUGGCAGGUGGGCUUUGCUUGCCUUGCGUGGUUUAGAUUCCAGCUUAUGAUCUUGAAAAUCUCACCUUGUGCUUCUACUGAAGCAUUACAAGCAAUGGUGUCUGUCCUUUGGCAUCAUUAUCUAAAACUUUUCACCUGUGUUGCCAUCUGUUUACAGCAAUGUUUCUCUAACUUAUCUUAUGUUCAAGUGCCAUUGUAAGUUAAUUCUGGUUCACACAUUUGACCCAUCCUGUCAUGUCUCGGCACCAAAUGUUACGGAACCUGUAUCUGUGAAAAUAGAGGGUUUUCACACCAUUUUCUCCUCUAACAUAGGAUACUGAUAAUGUUUAGAGCAUCAGCAAAUGUCGAUAGCGUCUUGUUUCUGCGGAGAAAUCGGCAAGGAAAUGCUCUGUCCUGACAGACGCGUGUACCGUGAUGGGGCCGAUAACACCUGUGUGAAUCAGGCCUUCGUGAGGAACAUAGUUGUCAACUUACCUUUAGACCAGUCUGGCUAUGUCAAGAAUUGCUGGAUAAAACACACUUCUCUCUUUCAGAAAGAGAUAAUUGAAGUGUUCUGGAGGUUGUCCUAAUUUCCUGCCUCUGGCUUGAGCAGGUGUGCAAGAUGCAAGCAUUAGGUCCAUAGAAUUGACUGCACCAUUUGAAGGUGCACCACUGUAAAUGUUCGGUUUGCCUGCAAGACUGUGAAACA